UACGAAGGGGGCUAGCGUUGCUCGGAAUUACUGGGCGUAAAGCGUGCGCAGGCGGUUUUGUAAGCCAGAUGUGAAAUCCCCGGGCUCAACCUGGGAAUGGCAUUUGGGACUGCAAGGCUGGAGUGCGGCAGAGGAGACUGGAAUUCCCGGUGUAGCAGUGAAAUGCGUAGAUAUCGAGGAGGAAUACCGAUGGCGAAGGCAGGUCUCUGGGCUGACACUGACGCUCAUGCGAC
rnacentral:rRNA from 1 species